AAUGUUGGACAACUGCAAGGU
rnacentral:miRNA from 1 species